AAUAAAGUGCCUGAGCUAAAGGGUCAUUUUGAUAGAAUGAAUUACGUAAUUUUUAUUACCUUUAUUA
rnacentral:tRNA from 1 species